rnacentral:tRNA from 1 species
ACUGAGAAGUUGUCCGUGCAAGUCGAACCAUUUUGAUACCCAACAACUAGCCUUAUUACCCAAACCAAACAAAUCC